CACCCCCCGCCGUACACCACACACCGAGGUCUGAGGACACAGGGGUGACCGGUAUCACAGCGCCCCCCGCCGUACACCACACACCGAGGUCUCUGAGGACACAGGGGUGACCGGUAUCACAGCACCCCCCGCCGUACACCACACACCGAGGUCUCCGAGGACACAGGGGUGACCGGUAUCACAGCGCCCCCCGCCGUACACCACACACCGAGGUCUCCGAGGACACAGGGGUGACCGGUAUCACAGCGCCCCCCGCCGUACACCACACACCGAGGUCUGAGGACACAGGGGUGACCGGUAUCACAGCGCCCCCCGCCGUACACCACACACCGAGGUCUCCGAGGACACAGGGGUGACCGGUAUCACAGCGCCCCCCGCCGUACACCACACACCGGGGUCUCUGAGGACACAGGGGUGACCGGUAUCACAGCGCCCCCCGCCGUACACCACACACCGAGGACACAGGGGUGACCGGUAUCACAGCGCCCCCCGCCGUACACCGCACACCGAGGUCUCUGAGGACACAGGGGUGACCGGUAUCACAGCGCCCCCCGCCGUACACCACACACCGGGGUCUCUGAGGACACAGGGGGGUGACCGGUAUCACAGCGCCCCCCGCCGUACACCGCACACCGAGGUCUCUGAGGACACAGGGGUGACCGGUAUCACAGCGCCCCCCGCCGUACACCACACACCGGGGUCUCUGAGGACACAGGGGUGACCGGUAUCACAGCGCCCCCCGCCGUACACCACACACCGGGGUCUCUGAGGACACAGGGGUGACCGGUAUCACAGCGCCCCCCGCCGUACACCACACACCGAGGACACAGGGGUGACCGGUAUCACAGCGCCCCCCGCCGUACACCACACACCGAGGACACAGGGGUGACCGGUAUCACAGCGCCCCCCGCCGUACACCACACACCGGGGUCUCUGAGGACACAGGGGUGACCGGUAUCACAGCGCCCCCCACCGUACACCACACACCGAGGUCUCUGAGGACACAGGGGUGACCGGUAUCACAGCGCCCCCCGCCGUACACCACACACCGAGGAUACAGGGGUGACCGGUAUCACAGCGCCCCCCGCCGUACACCACACACCGGGGUCUCUGAGGACACAGGGGUGACCGGUAUCACAGCUCCCCCCGCCGUACACCACACACCGAGGUCUCUGAGGACACAGGGGUGACCGGUAUCACAGCGCCCCCCGCCGUACACCACACACCGAGGUCUCUGAGGACACAGGGGUGACCGGUAUCACAGCGCCCCCCGCCGUACACCGCACACCGGGGUCUCUGAGGACACAGGGGUGACCGGUAUCACAGCGCCCCCCACCGUACACCACACACCGAGGUCUCUGAGGACACAGGGGUGACCGGUAUCACAGCGCCCCCCACCGUACACCACACACCGAGGUCUCUGAGGACACAGGGGUGACCGGUAUCACAGCGCCCCCCACCGUACACCACACACCGAGGUCUCUGAGGACACAGGGGUGACCGGUAUCACAGCGCCCCCCGCCGUACACCGAGGUCUGUGAGGACACAGGGGUGACCGGUAUCACAGCGCCCCCCACCGUACACCACACACCGAGGACACAGGGGUGACCGGUAUCACAGCGCCCCCCGCCGUACACCACACACCGAGGACACAGGGGUGACCGGUAUCACAGCGCCCCCCGCCGUACACCACACACCGAGGUCUCUGAGGACACAGGGGUGACCGGUAUCACAGCGCCCCCCGCCGUACACCACACACCGGGGUCUCUGAGGACACAGAGGUGACCGGUAUCACAGCGCCC